CCUACGGGAGGCAGCAGUAGGGAAUCUUCCACAAUGGGCGAAAGCCUGAUGGAGCAACGCCGCGUGAGUGAUGAAGGCCUUCGGGUUGUAAAACUCUGUCAUUCGGGACGAACCGGAGUCUGAGGAAAUGCAGACUCUCUGACGGUACCGGAGGAGGAAGCCCCGGCUAACUACGUGCCAGCAGCCGCGGUAAUACGUAGGGGGCAAGCGUUGUCCGGAUUCACUGGGCGUAAAGCGCGCGCAGGCGGUGAUGUAAGUCUGAGGUGAAAACCCGAAGCUCAACUUCGGGACUGCCUUGGAUACUGCGUCACUUGAGGAUAGGAGAGGCAAGGGGAAUUCCACGUGUAGCGGUGAAAUGCGUAGAGAUGUGGAGGAACACCUGUGGCGAAGGCGCCUUGCUGGCCUAUUUCUGACGCUGAGGCGCGAAAGCGUGGGGAGCAAACAGGAUUAGAUACCCUGGUAGUCCACGCUGUAAACGAUGAGUGCUAGGUGUAGGUGGGCUCAUCCCAUCUGUGCCGAAGCUAACGCAUUAAGCNCNCCGCCGNGGNGUACGUCGCGAGAGAGAACGUUAAGUAGAGUAGAGGCGNGAGAGNGCGAGGCGACACGAGGGAGGAGG
rnacentral:rRNA from 1 species